UGGGGAAUUUUGCACAAUGGGGGAAACCCUGAUGCAGCGACGCCGCGUGAUUUAGAAGGCCUUCGGGUUGUAAAAAUCUUUUGUAUGGGAAGAAAAUGACAGUACCAUACGAAUAAGGACCGGCUAAUUACGUGCCAGCAGCCGCGGUAAUACGUAAGGUCCGAGCGUUGUCUGGAAUCAUUGGGCGUAAAGGGUACGUAGGCGGAUAAGCAAGUUAGAAGUGAAAUCCUAUAGCUCAACUAUAGUAAGCUUUUAAAACUGCUCAUCUUGAGGUAUGGAAGGGAAAGUGGAAUUCCUAGUGUAGCGGUGAAAUGCGCAGAUAUUAGGAGGAAUACCGGUGGCGAAGGCGACUUUCUGGCCAUAUACUGACGCUGAGGUACGAAAGCGUGGGUAGCAAACAGG
rnacentral:rRNA from 1 species